GAGUUUGAUCGUGGCUCAGGAUGAACGCUGGCGGCGUGCCUAACACAUGCAAGUCGAACGAAGCAAUCGGGAUGAAGUUUUCGGAUGGAUUCCUGGUUGACUGAGUGGCGGACGGGUGAGUAACGCGUGGAUAACCUGCCUCACACUGGGGGAUAACAGUUAGAAAUGGCUGCUAAUACCGCAUAAGCGCACAGUACCGCAUGGUACGGUGUGAAAAACCCAGGUGGUGUGAGAUGGAUCCGCGUCUGAUUAGCCAGUUGGCGGGGUAACGGCCCACCAAAGCGACGAUCAGUAGCCGACCUGAGAGGUGACCGGCCACAUUGGGACUGAGACACGGCCAAACGUCCUACGGGAGCAGCAGU
rnacentral:rRNA from 1 species